AUGCUGGUGGAAUUCUCACCCCAAACCUCCAGCUACUGGAUCUGGGGAGGGGACAGAGAAUCCCUGCUUGAUUUCCGAGCAGACGUUUGCAACCCUGGGGCGCCAGCAAAAGCAGAGGUGAAUUCUCCGCGCUCUCCCGGGAAAUCCGCAUCCACUCCCGGACGCGCAACCGAGCCGGCUCCGGGCGCGGAUUCCCGCGCCGGCUGGGGCUCCCGGGUCGCUGGCGUCCCGGCCGGGAGGCGGUGCGAGCUCCCGGGGAGGGCCCCCUCCGCCUCCAGGGCGGCGCAAGCGGGGCCUAAGGUGGGUCACCUGCCAGGGAGGAAACGGGGGGUGCCGACGCACGUGGGAGGGGCGCCGACCCCGGGGCGGUGCAGAGCUGGAGGGUGCGGAAAAAGGCGGGAGGGAGGCUGGAGUUCGGACCUAGCCUUUCCCAGCGGGGGAGAGGGCGUGGAUGGGACGUCCCAGGUUUGCGGCGCAGGCAGCGUCACCCAAUCCACAGCCAACCCCACCCUCUGGGCCGCGCGGGUCCCCUCCCUCUGGACUGAAACCCGAGGAGCCGCCACGCCGCGGGGCCUGAUGCACUUGUCCGCUGCCGGUCGGCGGGAGGCGAGAACCCGGCGAGGCCGCUCGGAGCGGGCCCGACUCGGGGCAGCACCGGAGCGGGCCGGGCAGCAGUGGGCGCUCGCGAUCCUCCUCUGCCCAACGCGCUCUCCCUCAGGGCCGGGCCUCCUCCGUCCCCUCCUCCUGCUCCUGCUCCUCCUCCCGCUCCUCCCCUCCGCGGGACUGAUCGCCGAGCCUCCCGCCUGCAAAGUCCCCGGCGCGCCGGCAGCUACCAGCCGCCGUCUCUGCUGGAUCUCCGUGGGUGCCUGCGCCCCAGCCUCGUCCGCCUGCCCCGAGGCGUCCCCCUCCCUCCCGGCUCGCUCCGCCGGCCGCCGGUGCUCCGCGGCGCUGCCCAUGGCCCAGCCCGAGAGCCGACUUCGGGCGCCGGACCGGCUGGACCGCGGCGCAGCUCAGAUCACAGAUGAAGAGGGGUCAAUGACAACUCAUCACGGCUAGCUUCUGGUAAUCCGAGUGCCCAACCAGUACAAUGAUUCUUUUUUUUUUUUUUUCAACGUUUAUUUAUUUUUGGGACAGAGAGAGACAGAGCAUGAACGGGGGAGGGGCAGAGAGAUAGGGAGACACAGAAUCGGAAACAGGCUCCAGGCUCUGAGCCAUCAGCCCAGAGCCUGACGCGGGGCUCGAACUCACAGACCGCGAGAUCGUGACCUGGCUGAAGUCGGACGCUUAACCGACUGCGCCACCUAGGCGCCCCAACAAUGAUUCUUAUUUAAGUCCUUGGUGAUUUGGAGAAGCAAAGACUAAAAGGCACCUCUAGGCACCUGAAAGCCAGCCAAGGGGAGGGGGGCGGUUCGAUGUGUGCAUGGUCACUUUGGAGGACAGAAGAGAUCUUUGCGUUGGAUGGAAGGCACAGGGAGUCAGAGUUGUACAAAAUGUAAGGAAAAACAAUGCACUGAGUGUAAGAGGAAGCAAACGGUGUCAAACAACGGGUGUGUUCCUCCUGUUGUCUCAAGUCGGUCACCCAGAGGCCGAUCCUGGUAUGAUAUUGGGUGUGACAGUAAAACAGAGGUGUGGGAAAUAGGAUCGGAAGGAAAGAAGGCCAAGGAAGCACAUGGUACCAGGUUUGGGAUAUCCACCCUUGGAGGGUGACUUUGGCUCAAUUUCACAGGGGAGUCAGACACGGUGAAGGUUACAUCUAAGGGUUCCUGAAUUGGGGCCAGGAAGCUGGAGUGUUUGGUUAUGCCCUGGGAUAUAGCAUCCAUUCCUAGACACUUCUGGGUCUUUGCAUUUUGGUGCCUAUAGGUACUGAGGGAGCUGGUGUCUGAGGGCAGCCUCCAAUAGCUGCUGUUGGGGCCAAAGGCACGCUGGAAACCAUUGAACACAACCAUGGUAAAAGGGAUCUGAGGGAACAUAGGCGGAGCACUGACAUCAUCUGCUAAGUUUUGUCUUUUGGGAUCUCCCAUUUCUGAGAAGGUCCAAGAAGAGCGGAAAACUAAAG
ensembl:lncRNA